rnacentral:tRNA from 1 species
GCCGAUAUAGCUCAGUUGGUAGAGCAACGCACUCGUAACGCGUAGGUCAACCGUUCGAUUCGGUUUAUCGGCACCA